CCCUCUGCACAGCACCCAAGUGCCCACCAGGACCCCAGCUUCGCACCCAGGGGUGCUGCAGAGGGGGGCCCACGCGGGCACCCCCCCCCAGCCCCCAUUUUCCUGCAGGGCGCAGGGAUCGCCCCCCACCCCCCCAGUGCCACUUGCUGGUGGAGGCACAGGGGGGUAUGAGGAGACCCCGUCCUCCAGGUCCUCGCCUCCCUGCCCCACGCCGGGACCACCGCUGCCUGCCCAUCCCCGGCGGGCUCGGCCCCCAUACUGCGUCCCUGCGUCACCGCAGCCCUCCGGCACCGCGCGCCCCGUCCCGCAGCCCCCCCAUGUCCUCCCUCGAGAGCCUCUGCCUCGAUCCAGUGCCCCCAGCCUUGGCUGGCUCGGGAAAUAUGUUUCCUGAUGCUUCUCAUUUUUCCCACGCUCCCUGCUGCCGGCUGCGGAGCAGCGGAUGAGCGGGGAAGAAAUCCGCCCUAACGCCCGCGCCCCGCUCGGUCCUGGUGCCAGAAGUGCGUCUCCCCCCCUCUCCCCAAGCCCCCCCACAAACAUUUGCCUUUGUGCUUCCAAAACCACGCUGAGAGCCAGCCGGGCAGCACGCGAAUGCCCUCGAACCCAUCCAAACGGGCUGGGAAGAGCGUCCCCAUCCUGCCAGCGCAGCCCCGACCUCUCCUCGCCCCAGCCCCGCUCCUCUGCGGCUUCGCCCCAUGGAGGGGACGCCGAGCACGUGGGCGCCGGCAGCCUCCACUGCCUCCGCUCCACGCUGUAAAGCUGAGAUUUACAAGUGGCCGGAGGAGACCAGAGCUGGGCAGCCUUUAUGGAGCCUCAUUAGGAGCUGCAGGGAGCUUGGCUGGGAUCCACCGACCUCGCCACGUCCCGGGGAGAUGCCGGCGCGGGGCACGGCACGGCGGCGGCACCGGGGGGACCGGGCGGCUCAGCCCUUGGCCACGGCACUCGGGGACGGGACUGCGGGGUCCCUGAGGUCCCUGAAGCAUCCCAUGCUCAGGCACGGGGCGGUGAGUUCCCCACGUGGGGCGUCCCCCAUCCUUCCCUGUCCCCCAGCGGACGCAUCCGUGGAGCCACCGCUGCAGCAGGGAAACCUCGGGGGGCUGACGGCACCGACUGGCCCCGGUGCCUCGCCGCUGCUCAGGAAGGGCAGCGCUUGGGUUCCUCGGGGCAAGGAGCACAGAACCGGUGAGUCCGGAGAGGGAAAGCGAGGUCCUGGCGCGGCGCAGGAGCCCUCCUGCAGCCCCACGGAGAGGCGCGGCCGCGGGCUCAGCCCCACGCUCCCAGCCCCACGCAGGGGCUCGCCGGCCCCACGGCAGCACAGGUGGGGGGCAGCCCCUCCACUCGUCCCCGCACACGCCGGGCUGCACUCUUUUGUCCCCUCAUUUCCCUGA
rnacentral:lncRNA from 1 species